ncrna:unclassified sequences S4-Clostridia ribosomal protein leader
GAAAGGUCAUGCCUUUAGCAGCAUGGCUGGAUGCUUGCAUACCGGCAUCCCAGUUAGG